rnacentral:rRNA from 1 species
CAGUCGCCGCGGUAAAACGGAGGGGGCUAGCGUUGUUCGGAAUUACUGGGCAUAAAGCGCACGUAGGCGGCUUGGUAAGUUAGAGGUGAAAGCCUGGAGCUCAACUCCAGAAUUGCCUUUAAGACUGCCGAGCUAGCAGGUGAGAGAGGUAAGUGGAAUUCCGAGUGUAGAGGUGAAAUUCGUAGAUAUUCGGAAGAACACCAGUGGCGAAGGCGGCUUACUGGCUCAUACUGGACGCUGAGGUGCGAAAGCGUGGGGAGCAAACAGGAUUAGAUACCCCCGUAGUCCCUGUCUCUUAUAA